UACGUAGGGGGCAAGCGUUGUCCGGAAUCAUUGGGCGUAAAGCGCGUGUAGGCGGCCAGAUAAGUCCGCUGUGAAAUCUCGAGGCUCAACUUCGAGCUGUCGGUGGAAACUGUCUGGCUAGAGUCCGGAAGAGGAGAAUGGAAUUCCUGGUGUAGCGGUGAGAUGCGCAGAUAUCAGGAAGAACACCCGUGGCGAAGGCGGUUCUCUGGGCCUGUACUGACGCUGAGGAGCGAAAGCGUGGGGAGCGAACAGG
rnacentral:rRNA from 1 species